rnacentral:rRNA from 1 species
UUAAGUGAAUAAGGGCGCACGGUGGAUGCCUUGGCACUAGGAGCCGAUGAAGGACGGGACUAACACCGAUAUGCUUUGGGGAGCUGUACGUAAGCUAUGAUCCAGAGAUUUCCGAAUGGGGGAACCCAGCAUCUUUAAUAGGAUGUUACGAUUGUGUGAAUACAUAGCACAUUCGAGGUAGACGCAGAGAACUGAAACAUCUAAGUACCUGCAGGAAGAGAAAGAAAAUUCGAUUCCCUGAGUAGCGGCGAGCGAAACGGGAAAAGCCCAAACCAGCAAGCUUGCUUGUUGGGGUUGUAGGACUCCAAUAUGGUAGUUCUUUCAGAUAGUCGAAUGACUUGGAAAAGUCAGUCAAAGAGGGUAAAAACCCCGUAGACGAAAUGUGGAAGACACCUAGGAGGAUCCUGAGUACGGCGGAACACGAGAAAUUCCGUCGGAAUCCGGGAGGACCAUCUCCCAAGGCUAAAUACUCCCUAGUGACCGAUAGUGAACCAGUACCGUGAGGGAAAGGUGAAAAGCACCCCGGAAGGGGAGUGAAAUAGAACCUGAAACCGUGUGCCUACAACAAGUCAAAGCCCGUUAAUGGGUGAUGGCGUGCCUUUUGUAGAAUGAACCGGCGAGUUACGAUUGCAUGCGAGGUUAAGUUGAAGAGACGGAGCCGCAGCGAAAGCGAGUCUGAAUAGGGCGUUUGAGUAUGUAGUCGUAGACCCGAAACCAUGUGAUCUACCCAUGUCCAGGUUGAAGGUGCGGUAAAACGCACUGGAGGACCGAACCCACGUACGUUGAAAAGUGCGGGGAUGAGGUGUGGGUAGCGGAGAAAUUCCAAACGAACUUGGAGAUAGCUGGUUCUCUCCGAAAUAGCUUUAGGGCUAGCCUCGGAAUUGAGAAUGAUGGAGGUAGAGCACUGUUUGGACUAGGGGCCCAUCUCGGGUUACCGAAUUCAGAUAAACUCCGAAUGCCAUUCAUUCAUAUCCGGGAGUCAGACUGUGAGUGAUAAGAUCCAUAGUCGAAAGGGAAACAGCCCAGACCACCAGCUAAGGUCCCAAAAUAUAUGUUAAGUGGAAAAGGAUGUGGGGUUGCACAGACAACUAGGAUGUUGGCUUAGAAGCAGCCACCAUUUAAAGAGUGCGUAAUAGCUCACUAGUCGAGUGACCCUGCGCCGAAAAUGUACCGGGGCUAAACAUAUUACCGAAGCUGUGGAGUACACCUUUAGGUGUAUUGGUAGGAGAGCGUUCUAAGGGCGUUGAAGGCAGAUCGUGAGGACUGCUGGAGCGCUUAGAAGUGAGAAUGCCGGUAUGAGUAGCGAAAGACAGGUGAGAAUCCUGUCCACCGAAUGACUAAGGUUUCCUGGGGAAGGCUCGUCCGCCCAGGGUUAGUCGGGACCUAAGCCGAGGCCGACAGGCGUAGGCGAUGGAUAACAGGUUGAUAUUCCUGUACCCGUUGUUUUUGUUUGAGCAAUGGAGGGACGCAGGAGGCUAAGGAAUGCAGACGAUCGGAAAUGUCUGUCCAAGCAGUAAGUCUGAAGAGGAGUCAAAUGCUUCUUUUCUUAAGGACAAGCUGUGAUGGGGAGGGAAAUAAUAGUACCGAAGUUCCUGAUGUCACACUGCCGAGAAAAGCUUCUAGUGAGAAAACAGCGGCCCGUACCGCAAACCGACACAGGUAGUCGAGGAGAGAAUCCUAAGGUGAGCGAGAGAACUCUCGUUAAGGAACUCGGCAAAAUGACCCCGUAACUUCGGGAGAAGGGGGGCUGAUCAUACGAUCAGCCGCAGUGAAUAGGCCCAAGCGACUGUUUAUCAAAAACACAGGUCUCUGCAAAAUCGUAAGAUGAAGUAUAGGGGCUGACGCCUGCCCGGUGCUGGAAGGUUAAGAGGAGUGCUUAGCGCAAGCGAAGGUACGAAUUGAAGCCCCAGUAAACGGCGGCCGUAACUAUAACGGUCCUAAGGUAGCGAAAUUCCUUGUCGGGUAAGUUCCGACCCGCACGAAAGGCGUAACGAUUUGGGCACUGUCUCAACGAGAGACUCGGUGAAAUUUUAGUACCUGUGAAGAUGCAGGUUACCCGCGACAGGACGGAAAGACCCCAUGGAGCUUUACUGUAGUUUGAUAUUGAGUGUCUGUACCGCAUGUACAGGAUAGGUAGGAGCCGUAGAAAUCGGAACGCUAGUUUCGAUGGAGGCGCUGGUGGGAUACUACCCCUGCGUUAUGGCCACUCUAACCCGCACCAC